rnacentral:tRNA from 1 species
CAGAAUAUAAUUUAAUUAGAAUGUUGGCUUUGGGGGUCAUUAGUAAAGGUUAAAGUCCUUUUGUUCUGA